rnacentral:sRNA from 1 species
CUAAAAAAGUAACCUAUUAAAAUCAACAAAUUAGAUUUGAUAUCUAAAUUAUCAUAUUAAUUUUUUUAUUAAUUAUUAUAGUUCACUUCUCAUCUUUAUAUGAUUCUAUUUUUUCAAAAAAUAAUAUCAUCAUUAUAAAAAAAUAAUUAGAGUUUUUCGCAUAUGCCAUAAUUUGAAUUUUUGAAAACUAAUAUAAACUGUUCAAUACAUGAAAAAAUAUUAUAACGGGUGAAAAAUAGAUUUAAGAAAACUUUCUACUGAGUAACGGGUCAUAAUUUGAAAUAUUUAUAUUCAAUUUCAUACAUAUUAUAUUGAAAAUUUAUAAUCUUAUAUACUACAAUAAUUAAUAACAUAUUAGAUUUUUUUAUGUGUAUGAUGUGAUUCAAUUUUUAAUACAAGCUGGAAAAUCCUAGAAUUAACGGGUUUAGAUCGAUAUUAAUACAAGAUGGUAUAUUACAGGUGAAACUCUUAAAUUAACAAUCAAACUACAAGUGUAUAAUCUUAAACACUAAACAAUAUAGAUAAUAUCAACAAAAUAUAUACAACUCACAGUUUACUUUUAAUAUUUUAUAUACAAAAUCAAUUAAAUCUUAAUCACAUAAAAAUUAGCACAAAAAAAAGUAUUCAACAAUUAAAAUUUUAUCAAAUCUCUGUGUUAUAUAAGUUUUGAUACUAUAUUCGAAUAAAGUGUAAUAUACCUUUUCAAUUUGUAUUCUUUAACUAAUUUAAGCUAAUUAAUAUAUUUACUAAUCUUAUACCUAUCAAAACCGACUAUCGUUUCUUAUUUCUAUAGUAUUUUUGCAAGACUUUUUUGGUGGAUUUGGGUAAAAGUGCAUUCGGUCAUAUGGUACAUUCCCCUAUUAAAUAAAAAUGGUAUACUCCUAUGUUAUUAGCUAAAAUGUUUAGAUUAUAAUUCAGAGUCAUAUCAUUAAUAAAAUUAAUAUUAAUAAAAUAAAUGGCUUUUUGGCAAGACGGAUUUGGAGUGACGGGUUUUUGAAUCAACAUUAAUAAAAAAAUAAAAUAUAAUUAAUACACCGUUUCAAUACGGGUUUAGACCACUAAUAUUAAACAUAUCAAAUCAUCCUAAUUUAGAAAAGAUUAUAUAAAACCAAAAAUGUUAUGUGGUAUGUAUAAUGUUACCAUAUAUAAAAUAUAAAUGUAUUAGAGAAUGAUAUAAUUUGCAAAACUUUUAUCUAUAAAAAAAAUUCUUAAAUUUUAAAAAUUACUACUUUAAAAAAAAAUCACGGGACGGGUUAAGAAAUUAUAGAACGGGUUUUAUUUUGGAAUUAAGUUAUAUGGUAGAUGUAUUUGAAUCAAUAUUUAUAAAAUUUUAAAAUAU